CCUCAUGGUACCUAAAUUAGAAAUGUUUCCCACCUUUUUACUCCAAUUGCAAGUUUCCUGAGAAAUAUUUCCUGCUUCUUUACUCCAAUUACAAUCCCCAAUUGCAGAUUGAGAUUAAGUGCUUAACAAAAAUCUUCUUCCAAUUUUAACCCUAUUUCACCUUCGAAGUACCUAUGUGCUGUUCUGCCUGAACCAUCGUUUCCAACAGCUUCCGGAACCUUCAGAAAAUGCUGCCUCACGAGUCACUUCACUGGGUCUUCUUCUUCAUUUUCCAUCGCAACGACGCCCUCUACCACCAACUGAGUCGCUCAAUCAUCUGCUCUCUACCACUGUUGACGAUUCAAUUCACCACCUUACCACUGCAUCAUCUACUUCAGUUUCAUCUUCUCAAAAAUUUUACUCUCUGAGUAUUGGUUUAUAUGAAAGUAACACUGAUUUUCAAGAAGGUAAUGGUCACCAAGAAAAUAACUUUCAGUUCACAUAUGGAGAUAAAAGAUUAUUUUGAUUUCGGUGAUCCAAUUUCAAUUUGUCAAGAGUGUGGUGCUUUAAUAUGGUAUGAUGAAAGAAAUAAAAAAAAUAGAAAUUAUAUCAUUUCAGAGUUU